GUCGGGUGAGGUCGGAGUCUCGAAUUCCCUACCUGCUGAUGAAGAAGCAGUGCCUAGGCUAGUUGCAGUGCCAUCUUAAUCUUCUAGUUUGCCGUGGACUCUGCUCUUAGAGUCGAUUCCUACUCUCGAACAGAAAGCGGGUAAGCCCAACAAAGCUUUGAAGCUGAGACUAUUAGUAGUGAGAGAAAUGUCAUCUAAAGAAAGGCAGGCGCAGGGCUCCAGUAGUGGGAGCAGCCCUUAUGUGGUGCAAGCAGUAGGAGAAGCAUAGAUACUUAGGGAAGUGGAGCCAUUGUGAAGACUAGCGUAGAGGUCCCUAACUUUUAUGGAAGCUGAGACCCCUCCGUGGUCUUAGACAGGUUAGUCGCGAUGGACCAGUAUUUCGGGGCCGGUCUGCGAAGAACAAUCAAGGUAGGAUUAGCACCCUUCCUCAAUUAGGGCAUUAUAGUUCGACAUGCUACCUUCUUGAUGUAUCGAUUCUUGGUAGACAAAGGUGGUUUAGAUCGAGACGCCCCCUUUCGGGUCCGGGGAUGGAGUUUCAUCUUUCUGUUGGAGAAAGAAUAAGAAAAGGAAAGACGAAGGAAACCUAAGCCAUAGCCUACGAUUCAAGUCUACCACCAGUCAUCUAAGUACAGUCGAAAGAAGCG
rnacentral:lncRNA from 1 species